UACAGAGGUGGCAAGCGUUGUCCGGAUUUAUUGGGCGUAAAGCGCUCGCAGGUGGUUCGCUGCGUCGUGCGUGAAAGACCCCGGCUCAACUGGGGAGGGUCGUGCGAUACGGGCGAACUGGAGGCCAGUAGGGGGAUGCGGAAUUCCUGGUGUAGAGGUGAAAUUCGUAGAUAUUCGCAAGAACACCAGUGGCGAAGGCGGCUCACUGGCCCGGUACUGACGCUGAGGUGCGAAAGCGUGGGGAGCAAACAGG
rnacentral:rRNA from 1 species